AAAUUUGGAAAGACUAGAAUCAACAUGGGUACUUCUAUAAAAAUAUUGGAGUAGCUUAAUGGGUGAUACAUUGAUUGAAAUAAUUCAUGCAUGAUCAUGCCCUAUAGAAACUUUGAUUAUUGAACAUGAUUGAUCAUGUGACUUUCUAAGUAACUGCUACGAGAAAAGGACACAGUUGGGACCAAUAUAUUCUUUUUAGACAAUGAAAGCUUCAAUGUGUGAAUAAUAGACUACUAUUGUCUUACUACCAUGCUUUAAAUAAUGUUAUUAGAUCUUUUAUAGAGUCGUUAUUAGUUCUAAAAUAUUUUAGUUGGUUAAAAAUUUUUAAUUUCCAAAUUUUGAAGUCAUUGUUUUUUUGUAGAAUUUGGAGAAUGUAGCAUCCUAUGGAUUUGCAGAUAAUCUUCAGUUUUUAGUGGAGAGUUGAGUUAUGAGGAUUUGAGGUUGUGGUUGUAUGAAUUUCCUAAACGUUGUGACAAGGGCGAGACACUUCUUCCCCCCUUCUUCUCCUCCUGUGUCUGAAUUACCCCAAUUACUAUUUGAGGGUUAUUGUUCAUAAUGCCCUCAAAUUGCACAUUUUAGCCCCAAAAGCCUACCAAACUAAGUUUAAAUUAACCUUAACCCUUUCUCCUAUGUAUUGAUUUUCAAUCUAACCAUUAAUACCCAAAAAUUAUUUGUUUUCUAGAUUUCAAAUAGUCUAAUUCAUUUGAGAAAUAGAGGUCUUUUUAAUUUGGGGUUUAGAAAAAGCAGGUCCUAACUCAAACCAACGCAGAUCCAUUCGAAUAGUAUAAUAUUACUAAAUGGAAGAUACAUACCUUUUGCUCUUGCUACAAUAUAUUUGCAUCAUAUAGGGCACCUGUGUGUAUAAUUGAGAAUUAUGCUGAAUGCCAAUUGUUUUGAUUGGUGCAGUGCAACAUCUAACGGCAUACUAGAUCGAGCUAUUGAUUCAGAAGAUUCUUAGCAUAAGGACUUCCUCAGGCUGGAGCACGUUGAAGGGUAUCAUGAAUUGUCAGCAAAAACCAAAAUUUUCUUCUCCACUGCUGUUGCAAAAUGGGAUGUUGAUUUCUAUGUCAAAGUGGAUGAUGAUGUCCGUGUCAAUUUGGGUUGUUGAGUUUGUCAUGGCUUUGCAGGAAGCUGGGUGCUUUUCUGUUGUUCUGGAAUGUGUGCUUGCACCUAUUGCUGUUGCUGCAACAUUUGCUCUUCAAAUCC